rnacentral:lncRNA from 1 species
UACGAGAGCAGAGCGGUGGGCUUCCCUGUGCCAUGCUUGUAUAGUAUACGCUCUGUGUGAAAGGAGUAAGAGAGGUUUCAAGUGUCUGUGAACUUGUGUGUGCGUGUGUGUGGGGGGUCUGAGUAAUUGUGAGACAUGUUAUAUAUUUAAUUAUAAUCUGGCAUCACAUUCAUAUUUUGGAGAUUUUAGGUAGAGAAAGAUUACAUGGAAAAUACUGUAAAUUCCCUUUAUAAUAUUUGAUUGUCAAAUACUAAAAUCUAAUUGUUAGCUACUUUGAUCUGUUUAUUCUUUUUUUCCUUGCCAUUUUUCUAGAUGUUAGCAGAGAGUCAGGUUUUUGUUUGUUUUCUUUUUUGGUAGCUACUAGAAGUUUGAAUGCUGAAAGAACUAUUUAGUUUUAAAGCAACAAGCCAUGUAGAAACGUGAUCUAUUUAGUGAUAAUAAAGUGGGUAGUAUUUACUGAGAGCAUAGUGAGUGCUAGCUAGCUGCUGUUGUGCCAGACAUUUUAUAGGGUUGUCUCAUGUAGUCCUUACGGGAUGGACAAGGUAUGUGCCAUUGGUAUUCCUCCUUUAUAGAAAAACUAGCGGACAGUGAGCGAGGCAUUAGUUUAAGGAGGUAUUACUUAGGACUGGUGCAGAGACUUGAAUCAAUUCCUUGUAUAACCCUGGCUUUCAGUUGUGAUGGCGAAAACCAUGAAUUUAAAGUGAGACUGUCUAGCAUAGUUGGCCUUCCUUCCUUCCCGGCUUCUUACCUCGUUUGUUUACAUUGGUUUGUGUAUGUGCAUUGGUGGAAUUGCAUGUGCUGGCUUCUCAGGGUACUUGUUUAGGAUUGACGUGCUGGAGUGAUGCUAAUAGUUCUUUUUUCUUUCUUUUCCUUGAUAGUAAAAAACCCCUUUGAUGAAACAUUUGGAAAAAUACAAGUAAGUAAAAGAUCAUAAUGCUUAUAAUGUAUGAUGUCAUGUUUUAACUGAUGAAAAUACUAGAGUGACUGUAAACUAAGGAAAGUAACUUUAAGGCCCUAGUAGUUUGGUCAUUAUGUCUGAUGUAGAGCUGCUCCUGACAAUAGAAUGUUUGCUACUUUUAUGUAAAGACAAGUGCCCCAUCACAUAUGAGUGGCCCUGCCAUGCCUUGAUCUGGCUCUCCUACCUAAAAGUACCUGUGUUGUCUAAGGCCUUUGCAGGCUUUUGUUUUUUCAUUUUGUUUCUUUUUGGAUCUUUGUUCUGUUGGUGUGAAGAAGGAUCAGGAAAGCAAAAAAAAAAAAAACAAAACAAAACAAAACAAAACAACAAC